ensembl:snoRNA SNORD115 Small nucleolar RNA SNORD115
GGGUAUAUGAUGACAAACUAGUGACAUGAAUAUAGGUGAUGACAUAAAAAUCAUGUUCAAUAGGACUAUGCUGAGUCCC